GAAAUGCGAUAAUUAAUGUGAAUUGCAGAAUUCAGUGAAUCAUCGAGUCUUUGAACGCACAUUGCGCCCCCUGGUAUUCCGGGGGGCAUGCCUGUCCGAGCGUCAUUGCUGCCCUCAAGCACGGCUUGUGUGUUGGGCUUCCGUCCCUGGCAACGGGGACGGGCCCGAAAGGCAGUGGCGGCACCAUGUCUGGUCCUCGAGCGUAUGGGGCUUUGUCACCCGCUCCCGUAGGUCCAGCUGGCAGCUAGCCUCGCAACCAAUCUUUUUAACCAGGUUGACCUCGGAUCAGGUAGGGAUACCCGCUGAACUUAAGC
rnacentral:misc_RNA from 1 species